rnacentral:rRNA from 1 species
UACGGAGGGAGCAAGCGUUGUUCGGAAUUACUGGGCGUAAAGCGCACGUAGGCGGCCGUUCAAGUCAGAGGUGAAAGCCCGGGGCUCAACCCCGGAAUAGCCUUUGAAACUAGAUGGCUUGAAUAUUGUAGGGGUGAGUGGAACUCCGAGUGGAGAGGUGAAAUUCGUAGAUAUUCAGAAGAACACCAGUGGCGAAGGCGACUGACUGGACAGGUAUUGACGCUGAGGCGCGAAAGCGAGGGUAGCAAACAGG